GUCAGGAUGGCCGAGUGGUCUAAGGCGCUGCGUUCAGGUCGCAGUCUACACUUGUAGGCGUGGGUUCGAAUCCCACUCCUGACA
rnacentral:tRNA from 1 species